rnacentral:lncRNA from 1 species
GAAAACUGGCAGUUACAGGUCUCACCCAGCUCCCGCACAGCCCAAAGGGCUGUUCUCACUCCCACCGUGGCCCUCCCUGAAACAGCACCAAGUUUGUUUCCAGACAGCGGCUGAGCAGGGCUGAGAGCUUUCCUCAGUCUACCAGCCUUCCAGCUGAUAAAGCAAGCAGGGCUUCCAGGUUUCAUGUCUCCCUGCCUGCCACAGCUUCUGUGCUUUGUCUGCACUCCCAAUUCACCCCUUCCUCUGGGUUCUGUCCAGGAAACUUCAUGCUUGGUCAAAAUUGUUACAAAGUUCAGCUGGAAGUUUCCUUCUCCCUGUGUUUUUUUCCCAAUUCCUCUGGCAGCCCUCCCCAAGGACUCCUGUGAGACAAAGUCAGAAAUGACUUCCCUGGGGACUGAGAGAGACAACAGGGCUCUUCUCGAUGCUUCUUCUACCCCUGUAUUUUGCUCAGCUCUCUGAAGUUAUCUCAGUUCCAGCAGUCCCCGACGGGCUUUUCUGUUUCCUACCGCGUUGUGAAGGAGAUUCUUGCUGCUUCUUCGCUUUCUGCCAUGAUUGCAAGUUUCCUCCGGCCUCCCCAGCCAUGUGGAACUCAAAAGGCUUCUAAAAAGCCUAUGCAGAAUUUUUGAAGCAUGGUCUGUGAAUAUGAUGGAAUAUCACUCUCAUGAAUAGCUCCAACUCCUAAAAUGAUUGCAUUUUGUUCUGUGGAAUGUGUGGCCCAUCAAAACCAGGAUCCCUGUUUCUCCAACUCUUCUAAAGGUGAUCUUCAUCACAAAUGGCAUCAACAGAAAACACCACUUGAAACAUAGGGGAAAAAGUGGCCCCACUUCCUUCAUUGGCUAUUUUCCUUUUUUUGUUGUUGGAUCCUUUAUGCAAUAAAAUAUAUUGUAAAAGUUAUAUCUAUUAACUCUG